rnacentral:rRNA from 1 species
UACGUAGGGGGCUAGCGUUGUCCGGAAUCAUUGGGCGUAAAGCGCGUGUAGGCGGCCCGGUAAGUCCGCUGUGAAAGUCCAGGGCUCAACCCUGGGAUGCCGGUGGAUACUGUCGGGCUCGAGUCCGGAAGAGGCGAGUGGAAUUCCUGGUGUAGCGGUGAAAUGCGCAGAUAUCAGGAAGAACACCUAUGGCGAAGGCAGCUCUCUGGGACGGUACUGACGCUGAGACGCGAAAGCGUGGGGAGCGAACAGG